UGGGUGGCGAGUGGCGGACGGGUGAGGAAUACAUCGGAAUCUACUCUGUCGUGGGGGAUAACGUAGGGAAACUUACGCUAAUACCGCAUACGACCUACGGGUGAAAGCAGGGGAUCUUCGGACCUUGCGCGAUUGAAUGAGCCGAUGUCGGAUUAGCUAGUUGGCGGGGUAAAGGCCCACCAAGGCGACGAUCCGUAGCUGGUCUGAGAGGAUGAUCAGCCACACUGGAACUGAGACACGGUCCAGACUCCUACGGGAGGCAGCAGUGGGGAAUAUUGGACAAUGGGCGCAAGCCUGAUCCAGCCAUACCGCGUGGGUGAAGAAGGCCUUCGGGUUGUAAAGCCCUUUUGUUGGGAAAGAAAUCCAGCUGGCUAAUACCCGGUUGGGAUGACGGUACCCAAAGAAUAAGCACCGGCUAACUUCGUGCCAGCCGCCGCGGUAA
rnacentral:rRNA from 1 species